UGUAGGAAUACUAAUACGCAGUUCUCGCCUGUUGUCCCACAGAAGCUGAGUAGGGUUGAGCCUGCCCAGUACCUGGAUGGGAGACCUCCUUGGGAAACCUAAGGUUGCUGCUAGGA
rnacentral:rRNA from 1 species